CAUACAGAGGGAUGGACAGACACACACACACAGAGAGAGAGAGAGAGAGAGAGAGAGAGAUUGCGGGUUGGACUGGUGAAACCGGUUCGGGUGUGGCGAUCGAGCAGCUUAGCAGCAGCAGAAGUUUGAUUUUGUUCUCUGCGACAGAAAGAAAAGAUUAAGAAGCUUCAAUCGUCUGUUUGAGACCAACAGCAAGAACAAAGAAAAGCUACUUUUCUUCUGAUCAGUCAGAGGAUGGACACAUGCAAGUUUCCAAAAACUGAUGCACGGGGUGGCCGUUUAUAAGCUUCUGCUUCUGCCCACACCCUUUCAGCCGCACUAAGUUGAGUUCUCUCAUCCUAAUGCCGUCUCAGGUCCCUUCUUCAUUUUGACUGGACGGCUGCCUGUUUUAGCUUCGCUCUCCUCUCUUUAACCAACAUGUCAUCCAAACUCGACAUCUCAUUGACAAACCCUUAUAGUGAUGUGUCCAUCCCUCGUGCCACGCUCCGCCCAUCUGAAGGCGGUGCCACAGUAAUAGCCAAUCCAGCGGCUUUAAACAGUUCCGAUGGCAACCCGUACAAUGCCUCAGUGGGCUCCGUCUCACCACCGCCUUAUACAGUCAAAGAGGACAGAGGAGGGGAGGAGGAGAGUAGGCGGUGCGCUGCCUGCUGCUACCGCUGCAGGAGGAAGUGACGUCUUCAAGAUGCCGUAACAUCAGCAUUCUGAUUGGCUGGUGAUGUGGUUUUUUUUUCAAAGUUGCUCUUGCUGGAUUUGAACGUGAAGUGCUGACAUAACCUUUAACCCCUAACCCUUAACCCUGACCUCCUAAACCAUAGAAGCCAGACGUUCACACUUCGCUGGAGUUGAACAACAUAAAAAUAAACGCCUGAAAAGUCCUCUGAGAGUCUCCCUGCUGUUUUCUACCUAAGGAAAGAUGGAUGAAAAGAAAGAAUACUAGGAGGGAAGAAGGACAUGAGGAAGAAAUGACCAGAACCACCGCCCCCCCCCCCAAAAACCCCCAAACCAAAACAUGAAAGGUCACAAAAGCCAUUUCGGUGACCAUCAAAAGCAAAGUUUAUAUUCUUAAAGGUAUCAGCUAACUUUGAAACAGACAAGGCAGAAAGAAAUACAACUUAAUAAAAUCUGACAAGAAAAUUUAAAAAGGGAUCUGGAAAGUAAUUUAGCACCGUUUUACUUUUAUGAAAAUUAUUGAAAUUAAAACAUUUUAUUCAUUGUCAAUAGCACAACUGAGAAGCAAAAAAUGCUGAAGCUUUUUUCUGACAAGAAUUACAUAUAUAUUAAUAUAGAUUUUUUUUUAUCUUAUUGUGUUAAAUACAUCAGCAGUUCAUGUGAAAAUGAAUUUUCUGCCACAAUUUAACAGCAAUGUAUGUAUGAAGUUCAUUAUAAGCCUUUUUUGUUAGAAUGUGAUUUUUUUAAACUAUAAUGUCUAGCAGUUUUGAGGUAAAUGAACUGAUAUUUUUUAAUUGUGUUCUUUGUAUUUUACUCUUUUUUCAUUUGUCAAAGGAAAUAUUUGUAUUUUGAAAAAGUGUCCAAAUUAUUUAUAUUUUUAGCAGAAUGAAGGACUUUUAAAAUAUAAAAAUAUUUUCUUCUGUUGUGACAUUACAGACUGUGGUGUACAAUCUGUGUUAUUUAUAGUGCUUUUAUUUUGAAAUAUCCAGGGAGACUGGAAGCAGGGGUGCUGAGUGGAGUCCCGCUAUUCAAUUAAGGGACUCUAGUGCUGAGGAGGUUGCAGUACCCCCUGCUGGUGAGGAGCUGUAGUUGUAAGGGAAAUAUGUUUACUGAAUAAAGCAAUUUUAAAAGC